GCCGCUAUAGCUCAGAGGCCAGAGCGUCGCACUUGUAAUGCGGGGGUCGAGGGUUCAAAUCCUUCUGGCGGCACCA
rnacentral:tRNA from 1 species